AAGUCGCAACAAGGUUUCCGUAGGUGAACCUGCGGAAGGAUCAUUGACAAAUCUAAAACAACAACUGUCUCUCUCCCCCUAACAGGAGGAAAGAGCAGUUUAUUCUAACCUGUGAAUCGGCAGUUCGCAAGAGCUGUUUGCGUUUGGUGUUGGGUUGCCUUGUGCAGCUUCAGCCAAACUGCACACAUAAACGUCUACAUAACUGUCUAAGCAGCAUCAUUUUGUUGCGUAAAAAUCACAAAAACACAACUUUUAGCAAUGGAUCUCUUGGCUUCU
rnacentral:misc_RNA from 1 species